rfam:Toxocara canis scaffold405, whole genome shotgun sequence.
CGGGCAGUAGCUCAGUGGUGGAACUCUCGCUUCUUAUGCGGGGAGAUCUGGGUUCGAGUCCCGGCUGCUUAC